rnacentral:rRNA from 1 species
AACGAACGCUGGCGGCAGGCCUAACACAUGCAAGUCGAACGCACCGCAAGGUGAGUGGCGCACGGGUGAGUAACACGUGGGAAUGUAUCCUUUGGUUCGGAAUAACGUUUGGAAACGGACGCUAAUACCGGAUGAGCCCUUAGGGGGAAAGAUUUAUCGCCGAAGGAGCAGCCCGCGUCUGAUUAGGUAGUUGGUGGGGUAAAGGCCUACCAAGCCGACGAUCAGUAGCUGGUCUGAGAGGAUGAUCAGCCACACUGGGACUGAGACACGGCCCAGACUCCUACGGGAGGCAGCAGUGGGGAAUAUUGGACAAUGGGCGCAAGCCUGAUCCAGCCAUGCCGCGUGAGUGAUGAAGGCCUUCGGGUUGUAAAGCUCUUUCGCACACGACGAUGAUGACGGUAGUGUGAGAAGAAGCCCCGGCUAACUUCGUGCCAGCAGCCGCCGCCG